rnacentral:rRNA from 1 species
GACGAACGCUGGCGGCGUGCCUAAUACAUGCAAGUAGAACGCUGAAGGAGGAGCUUGCUUCUCUGGAUGAGUUGCGAACGGGUGAGUAACGCGUAGGUAACCUGCCUGGUAGCGGGGGAUAACUAUUGGAAACGAUAGCUAAUACCGCAUAAUAGUAGAUGUUGCAUGACAUUUGCUUAAAAGGUGCAAUUGCAUCACUACCAGAUGGACCUGCGUUGUAUUAGCUAGUUGGUGGGGUAACGGCUCACCAAGGCGACGAUACAUAGCCGACCUGAGAGGGUGAUAGGCCACACUGGGACUGAGACACGGCCCAGACUACUACGGGAGGCAGCAGUAGGGAAUCUUCGGCAAUGGACGGAAGUCUGACCGAGCAACGCCGCGUGAGUGAAGAAGGUUGUCGGAUCGUAAAGCUCUGUUGUAAGAGAAGAACGAGUGUGAGAGUGGAAAGUUCACAAUGUGACGGUAUCUUACCAGAAAGGGACGGCUAACUACGUG